rnacentral:rRNA from 1 species
GGGCCCGCACAAGCGGUGGAGCAUGUGGUUUAAUUCGAUGAUACGCGAGGAACCUUACCAGGGCUUAAAUGCAGAACGACCGGGAUAGAAAUAUCCCUUUCUUCGGACGGUCUGCAAGGUGCUGCAUGGUUGUCGUCAGCUCGUGCUGUGAAGUGUCGGGUUAAGUCCCAUAACGAGCGCAACCCCUAUUUCUAGUUGCCAGCGGUUCGGCCGGGGACUCUAGAGAAACUGCCAGCGUAAGCUGUGAGGAAGGUGGGGAUGACGUCAAAUCAUCACGGCCCUUACGUCCUGGGCCACACACGUGCUACAAUGGUGGGGACAACGAGUCGCAAACCCGCGAGGGUAAGCU